UNGCUGUUGAGCUUUUGCUGGGUGGUGGGU
rnacentral:piRNA from 1 species